GACAACUUGGCUCCUGCAUUUUUUCAUACAUCCCGGGGUGCAGAUAAUUCCCUAAGCGCAGAUCUGAGCUCACCCCCACCAGAAAUCUCCCUGCAUUGCCGUUAAAAAAUGUAUCACUUUAAAAAACUCAGCUUUGGUGCUCAGAAAAGAGUCCCAGCAAAGGCAUGGACAGAGGAAUAUUCUCAGGCCACAGAUACAGAACCACAGUGGCAAUAAAAUCUCCAGCAAAUGUAAACUGUGAGGAUGGGAAUCUAUGCGGAAAACCUUUCCAUAGGCACCGUCACCUCCUUCUGGUUUCCAUAGAGAUUUAGGUUCCUGCUUCCAGCAGAGAAAAUCCUGAUUGACACCUUGUACUUUCUGAGAGGCUUUUCUCAUGCCAUGGCAAAGUUGCUGUAUUAGCAGCUUUGGACUCUGUGAUCACACCCAGAUUUCAGCAAACCAGUAAAACUGCAGAAAAAUGGCUGAGCUGGGAGGGAAAACAAAACUCUUUGAUUUCUCCUGAUAGUCAAAAUUGCAAGGAAAUAUAGAUUAAGCAUUGACUUCAUGAGCUGUGGGGAGAAUCUUUAAUAAAAGCAAAAAAAAGGUG